GUGCAAGACCUCAACCUCGCAAAACCCUCCGUGAAAGUGAGCAAGACUCUCUCUCUCUCUCUUUUUUUUUUUUUUAAAAACGCGAAAAUUACAGUAGGUGUGGCUUCCAAGUCGAAGUGGUAUGAUUUUCCCAUAACUUUUUUUUUUUUUUAAGAAGGAAAUAUUUUAUCAGCAUAAAAGAUCAGAGUCAUGGCUGCAGCCCAAAGGAAAUCCUUUUUCUUUCCAAUGUCUGGAUUGUGAGGAAAGUCAAAAAUAUCAUUUCCCCUACCCCUCCUUUUACCUGAAUUUCCUUGGAAAACAAAGGAAGGCUUUUUUUCUUUUUUCGUUUUUUUUUUUUUUUUUUUCCCUCUGUCUCUCUCUUGGGGACUUUUGAAUGGUGAAAAAGUUGCACUGCACUGAACAGAGAGACAGCAGAAAGAAACUAAGCUGAGCAUUUGCAACAUGGGCCGGACAGACCAGCUCCCAUAAAGAAGAAUGGCAAGGUGAAGGGCCGUUCCGCCACCCCACCACCAAGGUGACCAGAGGAUACACCAAUACACCAUCAUUGUUCACAAGUGCAUCCGUGGAAUGGAUGUCAAGUGGGUAUUCAGAGAGAUCCAGGAAUUUGCCACGAGGGAAAUGGGGACCUUAGAUGGGUGCAUUGAUACCAAACACAACAAAGCUCCGAGGGCCAAUAGCGUAAGGACUGUCUCAUCCCAUAUCGGCACGCUGUUGUCCAGAAAAUGUAAUGACACUGAAGACCCAACAGACAAACUCAGGUUUCCUGUGUACCUGUCACCACUUUCAAAAAUCUACAAAUAAACCAAAAAACUACAGACAGAUGAUGUGGAUGAGAACUAACUGCUGAUUCCAAAUAAAGUUAUUAAACUGCAAAAAAAAAAAAAAAAAGAAAGAAAGAAAA